rnacentral:rRNA from 1 species
UGAGUACGAGACGCUAAGGCGUCGAAGUAGUGUAUGUCAUACUUCCAAGAAAAGCUUGCACUGUCAUUCAUAAAAAAUGCCUGUACCAUAACCGACACAGGUGGGUAGGUAGAGUAUACUAAGGGGCGCGAGAUAACUCUCUCUAAGGAACUCGGCAAAAUAACUCCGUAACUUCGGGAGAAGGAGUGCCUUAUUUAUAUAAGGUUGCAAUAACAAGAUCCAAGCAACUGUUUACCAAAAACACAGGUCUCCGCUAAGUCGUAAGACGAUGUAUGGGGGCUGACGCCUGCCCAGUGCCAGAAGGUUAAAGAAGUUGGUUAGCAAUAGCGAAGCUGAUAACUGAAGCCCUGGUGAACGGCGGCCGUAACAAUAACGGUCCUAAGGUAGCGAAAUUCCUUGUCGGGUAAGUUCCGACCCGCACGAAAGGCGUAAUGAUUUGGAUACUGUCUCGGAGAGGGACUCGGUGAAAUAGACUUGUCUGUGAAGAUGCGGACUACCUGCACCUGGACAGAAAGACCCUAUGAAGCUUUACUGUAACUUGAAAUUGAAAUUGGACUUUAUUCGCGCAGUAUAGGUGGGAGGCGUUGAAAAUAAUCUUGCGGGACUAUUGGAGCCAUCAGUGAGAUACCACUCUUAUAAUGUUAGAUUUCUAACUUUGAAUCAUUAUCUGGUCAAAGAACAGUUUCAGGCGGGCAGUUUGACUGGGGCGGUCGCCUCCCAAGCGGUAACGGAGGCGUACAAAGGUUUCCUCUGAACGGGUAGAAAUCGUAUCUAGAGUAUAAAGGCAAAAGGAAGCUUGACUGUGAGACCUACAAGUCGAGCAGGGACGAAAGUCGGUCUUAGUGAUCUGACGGUACUGAGUGGAAAGGCCGUCACUCAACGGAUAAAAGUUACUCUAGGAUAACAGGCUGAUCUCCCCCAAGAGUUCACAUCGACGGGGAGGUUUGGCACCUCGAUGUCGGCUCAUCGCAUCCUGGGGCGGUAGUACGUCCCAAGGGUUGGGCUGUUCGCCCAUGAAAGCGGUACGCGAGCUGGGUUCAGAACGUCGUGAGACAGUUCGGUCCAUAUCCGGUGUAGGCGUUAGAAUAUUGAGAGGAGCCUUCUUUAGUACGAGAGGACCGAGAAGGACAUACCUCUGGUGUACCAGUUAUCGUGCCAACGGUAAACGCUGGGUAGCUAUGUAUGGAGUGGAUAACCGCUGAAAGCAUCUAAGUGGGAAGCCCACCUCAAGAUGAGUAUUCUC